rnacentral:sRNA from 1 species
GCGAUUGUGGCAAGAUUUUCUCUUCUUGGAUUGACCAUCCAAGCAGCUAUUCUCGUCUGUUCUCCACCAUAUCAAUUGCUCUCUGUUGCCGGUGCAGUUCCUCUAUCGGUUCCUCAUACGAUUCUCUCUCUUAUCAGAAACCCAAAUCCAAACCCAGUUACCAACACCCAGAUCGUUAUGCUUUCACGGAACCCCUAUCAGAGGAAACGCUCUUCCUUUCAUCUCUAGUGGGCAGAAAUUGAUUGAAGUUCCAAGAGAAGUUCGGAAGUGGUCUCUCAUUUUUGUACAAUUACAAUUGAAAAGGUUUUGACAGUUUGAUGAGCUAGAAGGCGCCAUGUUUGGAUUGCCAUUUUUCAGUCAUACUUGGGCAUCGGGCAGUUCUAUCUCUAUUGGCAUCUGAAGCAAAUAAGAGUCCUCCCAUAGAGGUAUUCCUUUCUUACUUUCUUUAUCCCUUCAUUUUCUUUCCUCUUGUAAAUUGUGUGGUUUUUCUUUAUCUUUGAAUUUGAUAAUUAUUCAUGACUUCUGUGAGAGGGACAAGUACUGCAUUUUCUA